rnacentral:rRNA from 1 species
GGGGAAUAUUGGACAAUGGGCGCAAGCCUGAUCCAGCCAUGCCGCGUGAGUGAUGAAGGCCUUAGGGUUGUAAAGCUCUUUCAGUGGGGAAGAUAAUGACGGUACCCACAGAAGAAGCCCCGGCUAACUUCGUGCCAGCAGCCGCGGUAAUACGAAGGGGGCUAGCGUUGUUCGGAUUUACUGGGCGUAAAGCGCACGUAGGCGGAUUGGUCAGUUAGGGGUGAAAUCCCAGAGCUCAACUCUGGAACUGCCUCUAAUACUGCCAGUCUAGAGUCCGGAAGAGGUAAGUGGAACUCCUAGUGUAGAGGUGGAAUUCGUAGAUAUUAGGAAGAACACCAGUGGCGAAGGCGGCUUACUGGUCCGGUACUGACGCUGAGGUGCGAAAGCGUGGGGAGCAAAC